UGUGCCCCUUCUUCAUGUGGCAAUCAUACUAUUAGCUACCCCUUUAGCCUAAACAGUAGUGAUCCAUUAAACUGUGGAAACCCUCUCUAUACCCUCCACUGCGAGAAAAACACCUCCACAUUUUUGCAUUUAGACUCACGAAAAUACUACGUGCAGGCAAUCAACUACAACAACUUGACAAUCCGAGUGGUUGAUGCUGGUGUUACACAAAAUGAUUGCUCUUCUCUUCCUCAUUUUUCUUUAGCAUUUGAUAGCCUAGGCAAUUCCAGAAGGGCAUUUAAUACAUUUACUUUAACAUUUGAUAGCUUAGAUUAUAUGAGAUUUCCAUAUACAUGGUUUCAAUACAAAAGGACAGGGCCGAAAUGGUUUCCCAAAUACAAGCCUCUCCCGUUAUCGCAGAAGAUGAUUUUUAUAAACUGUGCAAAUCCAGUGAAUUCUCCGCUGUACAUAGAAACCGGUACUUGCCUUAAUGGAGUAUUGUUUUGGAGUGUCCAAAGUUGUUUUUCAAAAUAGUUUUUUUUAGAAAAUACAUUAAAAUAAUAUUUUUUAUUUUUAAAAUAUUAUUUUUAAUAUCAAUAUAUUAAAAUAUCUAAACAUAUAAAAAAAAAUUAAUUUAAAACAAAAAAAAAUAAAAUUUUUCAAAAACAUGGCACCACAACCCAAGACACCAACUAAGAGUCCUAAAAUAGGAUCAUCAUAAAGUUUGAGAAAUACAAUUUAAGAACUAAUCUAGCAAGCAAAUACAGUUUCAUCCCCAUAUUUUCAAUCAAAUGCAUGUUAAUCUUUUAUUUGUGUAAUAAGCCGCGAAUUACUCGGAAUCCACUGUAGGCAGCAGCUCAUAGAUCACAGCCUUGAAAGCAAUGAUGACCUCAAAAUAUAUGAUUACUCUGUUUCUGAGAUGGCUGCCAGCUCUUGAUGAAGAUGCCUCCUUAGCAUACCUGUAUUCGUUCUCUUUGGAGCUGUGGAGCUAAGAGGAUUAGGAGGUGUACUUAACCUGUCUCCUUUCCCUUCCAGCAUCUGGACAACGAUUUUCAUGGAAGGACGGUCCACUGGGUUCCACUGGAUGCACCACAGUCCCACAAUGGCUAGCUUCUUCGCAAUUUCAGCAUCCCCUUCUUCCUCGAUGUGGAACCGCAGGUCUUCUCCUUCUUCUAUGAGAUUAUAAAUCCAUUCUGGGAAGUAUACUUGAUCACCAUUUUCUGCUGCUUCAUCAACAUUUUUCCUUCCACCAACCAUUUCUAACACCAACAUUCCAAAACUGUACACGUCUGCCUUGUAGGAGACAUUCCCAAAGUUUCUUGAGAACACUUCAGGUGCUAUGUAGCCGACGGUUCCCAGAGCUGUUGUCAUGGAAAUAGCACUUUUAUACUUGGAACACAACUUAGCCAGACCGAAAUCUGCAAUCUUGGGAUUGAAGUCAUUGUCCAGCAGGAUAUUAUGCGGUUUGAUGUCAAAGUGGAGGAUUGUUUGGUCACAACCCUGGUGAAGAUAUUCAAUCCCUUUGGCUACUCCGAGGGCAAUAUGAUGCAUCCUUUCCCAGCCAAGGAAAACAUUCUUGGCGUUUGCUGCAGAUAUGAACUUCUGCAGCGAAUCGUUUGGCAAAUACUCGAAAACCAGAGCUCGUCUAAAUCCAUCAGCACAGAAGCCAAUCAAGCGGACUACAUUGACAUGGUGAAUCCUAGCCAUUGUUCCCAUCUCGUUGACGAAUUCCUCUCCUUUUUCUGAUGAAUUGCUUAGAACCUUAACAGCCACCGGAAUCUCACUGGUUAGCUUUCCUUUGAACACAGUUCCAUAAGCUCCUUGCCCCAAUUCAUCCCUGAAUUGAUUUGUCAUCUUUUUGAGAUCAGCAUGGGAGUAUCUUGUGGGGUUCAUAGCUCUGUAAUCAUCCAAAAACCUUUCAACCUUGGCCUGAUAUUCCUCUUCUGAUUUUCUGAAGCUAUAGAUUUGGUAGACUGCAAUCACCAAAACCCCGAAAAGGAUGGAUCCUGUGGUUACACCUGCAUAUAUAAACAAGCCUUUUGAGUCAAGUAACUGAUCUUUUUUUUUUGGAAGCUAAGAGUUGGAGUAAAUUUGAGAAAAACUAACCUACAGUCAGUCGCUUUUUCCGUGCACCUGUAGAAGAUAAGAACCCCUGUUAAGUUCUAAUUUUCUGAAAGUUUCUAAAGUCAUGAUAAUAUCCUCUAUUUGUAGAAUCUAGAACGCUAAAUGCACAGGAAAACCACAUGUCAGUCAACUCACUAGUAGAUAGGACUUAGGUGUUCAAGGACACUUGCAAUACAUUAAUCAAAGUAGAGAUGUAGACUUAGUGAAGCAAGGAAUCAUAGAAAAUCAAGAUGCCAUGAACACAGAACAAUGAAAAGAAGACUUAAAGCUAAAGAUACCUUUUUCUGGUCUGGGCAAGCCAUAGCAUUCAGUUUCAAGCUCAGUGCUGCUAUUUUCCCUCAAUCCACAUAGUUUUCCUGUUGCUUCACAAGUUCCACAAUUGGGAUAGGACCACGACAGACGAAUAUCUUGUGGAACAGGUAGGUCGUACAUCUUGGUACAAGAUAGUAAUAACUCGUUGUCAUCAAUAGAUUGUUCUGAAUCAAUGGCAAGAACGUCAUAGUGGAGAGUACUUAUUAGACAAGCGAUCCUAGACAGAUAUCUUGCUUUAUUUAAAGAACAAUUGAAGGUAGUAAAAUCGACCUUGGAAAUCUUAAACUGUAUGUGAAACACAGACGAAUUGAAGUUGGAGUGUUGGCUUAGAAGGCAAACUUGGGGAUCUCUUGCAUAAAUAACUUGAUUUUUGUAGUCGAUCUUUUCUAUGUGGAGCUUCACUGCAGCUGGCAGCUCGAGCACUAUAUCGCCCAUCUCAUUACAAGACAGAUCAAAACCAGAAUAGCCACACUGUUCUGGCUGCCUAUCCUUGAUCCAGAAUGGAAAUCGGAUGUCGUGGUUCCCACAAGAUCCUGUGCAAUUUAGACUCACUCCAAGUUCUGCAAUGAACAUGAAAUAGAACAAGCAUAUAGCCUUUUUUGUUGAACCUCUCAUCAUUGCCUCCUAUGGUGAUAGAGUUUCGACCUAACAGUAUCUAGAUAUUGCAGAAACAAUAGUAAACUCAGAUGGGAGCAGCAAUGGUAACUCUGAUACCUUCUUUUUAUGACACCUGAAGGGUAACUCUGAUACCUUCGUUUUACUUGCCUAGAUUAAGUACUCAGAAUUGACCUCUCUUGCGUUCAAUGUAGUUCCAUGUCCACAAGGAUUAUUGCACCCUCACUUUCACAAAUUAUUGCCAAGAAGGUUAUCAUGUUAUCUAUUACAUGUUGACGUUUGUGGUGUUGAGAGUUGAUGGAUUUGUGGUUUAUAUCAAAGUAAUCUUUGAUAUUUCAAAGGAUGACUUGGUAAGUUUAAUAUACUGAAGAAACUCGUACAGACUCGCACUACCUUGUACUUAAUUUUUAUCAAAUAAAUAGGAAUGGUGAGAUUCGAAUUAUUGCUAAGAAGUUUAUCAUAUUGUCUAUAUGUUGAUGCUUGUGGUGUUGAGAGUUGAUGGAUUUGUGGUUUAUAUCAAAGUAAUCUUUGACAUUUCAAAGGAUCACUUGGUAAGUUUAAUAGGCUGAAGAAACUCUCGCAUUAGAAAACUAGCUUUAAGGUGUGGUGAGAUAUUUAGAAAUGAUUUAUAUUAUUUUUUAAUAUAUAUGUUAAAUUAAAAGUUUUUUGGAUUUAAAACUUGUACAGACUCGUAUUACCUUAUACUUAAUUUUUAUCAAAUAAAUAAGGAUGAUGAGAUUCAAAUUAUUGCCAAGAAGGUUAUCAUGUUCUCAAUUAUAUGUUGACGCUUGUGGUGUUGAGAGUUGAUGGAUUUGUGGUUUAUAUCAAAGUAUUAUUUGCUUUAUUAUUGUCACUUGGACAUUUUAAAGGAUGAGUUGGUCAUUUUAAUACGCUGAUGAAACAUUCACAAGAAACAAUUUAAUUUAAAAAGUUAAUCUGUUAUAUAAAUUUUUAAUAUAUAAUUUAUAUUAUUUUUUAAUAUGCAUGUGAAAGCUUUUUCAAUUUAAAAUUUAAACAGAUUUACACUAUUUUACGCUUAAUUUUUAUUAAAUAAAUAAAAAUGAUAAGAUUUAAAUUUAUAACCUCUUGAUCAUCAAGAGUUUGAUAUUAUAUUAAAAACUCAACUCAACUAUAAAAUUUAAGCUGUUAGGUUAAGUUUUAAAAUAUAAUUUAUAUUAUUAUUUAAUAUUACUGCUGUAACUGUUGUCUUUUAAAGACUUGAUAUCGUUUAUGGACUACACCCUCUUUCUCCACCCAUGGCUAGGCUCCUCUUUGCUGGCUCCAUAGCCUUACUGCUCCUGCUGCUAGUCUUCCAAAACAGCAACUGCAAGGAUACCAAUCUCUGUGCCCCUUCUUCAUGUGGAAAUCAUACUAUUAGCUACCCCUUUAGCCUAAACAGUGAUCCAUUAAACUGUGGAAACGCUCUCUAUACCCUCCAUUGCGAGAAAAAUACCUCCACAGUUUUGUAUUUAGACUCACGAAAAUACUACGUGCAGGCAAUCAACUACAACAACUUGACAAUCCGAGUGGUGGAUCCUGGUGUUAAAGAAAAUGAUUGCUCUUCUCUUCCUGAUUUUUCUUUAACAUAUGCAAGAUUAGGUAAUUCCAGAAGUGCAAAUACUUUUUCUACUUCAACAAAAGCAGGCUUAGAUUAUAUCAGAUUUCCAUAUACAUGGUUUCAAUACAAAGAGACAAGGCGGAAAUGGAUUCCCGAAUACAAGCCUCUCCCGUUAUCGCAGAUGAUGAUUUUUAUAAACUGUGCAAAUCCAGUGAAUUCUCCUCUGUACGUAGAAACCGGUACUUGCCUUAAUGGAGAAAAAUCUUCCAAUGUUUCACUCUUGAGGCGUUCUUAUGUGAACGUUGGUGGGAUGAAGGCUUCGGAUCUGAUGGAACUGUGCAGCUUAGAGAGGAUGACGUUGUUGCCAGUCAAGGAUUACAAGAACAUGCCCUAUAAGGAAAUCCACAGUCAGCUGGCAUAUGGGUUUGAGCUUUCAUGGCACAAUAGCAGGUGUGGAAGUUGUGCAUAUGGAUGCUACAUCGAUGAUUCGAACCGUAAACACUGCGUAGGUGGGCAAAUUUGAGUAACAAACUGUUCGUUUUUCUAUCUUCAACUUCUCUUUGCAUGAUUUCCCCAUUUCUGAAGCAUAUUGUAGUGCUGAGUAUCGUACGGUCAGCUCAAUCAAGCAAUCAUAGGCUGCAGAUGGUCAUAUCAAUUCGUGGUUUUCUUUUAUUCGACGAUAAAUGAUGUUUUUAUUCCAAUUUCUUUCAUCUUGUAGUAACCUCCGUUAUAUAGUUUCUCAAAUCACAAAUCUAAUCUUUGUAACUGAUCUCUUGGCCCAACAGGAGAUUCUUGGCGCUGGAUAAUCCUAGGUGAGGAUUCUAUCUCCCCACUUCUUCAUGCUUAAUUCUUAAUAAUAUCUCUAAUUAUUUGUUUACCUUCUCUGCAGCCGUGCUGGCGAAUGGAUCCGUGUUCAUUGGUAAGAACUCCCCUUAUUGAUUUUUUUUUUUUUGAAGUUAUGAUAUUGGAUCAUAUUUUAUUAGCUGAUACAAAAUGAUAAUUCCUAAAUGUCUACUCAUGCCAAGUUCUUCCUUAGCAGCACUCUUGGGGUUGCCUAAUGUCUGAGACAUACCUUUGGGUUAAGAGUAUGCUCUUAUGAAACUUGAUUGAACCUGAGUCGUCCAGUUUUGGUCUAGAUUUUAUAUGAUUUUUCAACUCGGAAAAAUAAUCCUAACGCCUAACCUAACACAUGCUGAGUAUUUAUCAAUCUCUGAUAUAUAUUAAUAAGAAAGAAUAACAAUUCCUCUCUAAUUUUUUUUCCUCUCAAAUUUCACACACAGCAAUACUUCAGGGGGCAAAAUUUAUCUUUGGGAGUCCGUUUGUGAUUGCAUUCUUGAUCUAUAAAUGGCGACGACGACAUCUAUCAGCAUAUGACACAAUUGAGGAAUUCCUACAGACUCAUAACAAUCUUAUGCCAGUCGUAAGGUAUUCUUAUUCCGCGAUUAAGAAGAUGACCAGAGGUUUCAAGGAAGAGUUGGGCAAAGGAGGUUUUGGUUGCGUGUACAAGGGAAAGCUUCGCAGUGGACGUUCUGCUGCGAUAAAAUUGCUGGGCAAAUCCAAGGCUAAUGGACAAGAUUUCAUCAAUGAAGUCGCUACCAUUGGAAGGAUUCGCCACACCAAUGUAGUUCAACUAGUUGGUUUUUGUGCUGAGGGAUCAAAGCGCGCUCUUGUAUAUGAUUUCAUGCCCAAUGGAUCUCUCAAUAAUUUCAUUUUUUCUCAAGAAAGAUCUGUCUCUUUAAGCUGGGAAAAACUGCAUGAGAUUUCCCUUGGAGUGGCUCAUGGCAUCCAAUAUCUACAUCGAGGUUGUGAGAUGCAGAUCCUACAUUUUGACAUCAAGCCUCACAACAUUCUUCUCGAUGAACAUUUCACUCCAAAAAUUUCUGACUUUGGACUUGCUAGGUUGUGCCCAGCAAAUGAGAGUCUUAAAUCUCUCACAGUGGCAAGGGGAACGAUAGGUUACAUGGCGCCAGAACUGUUCUACAAGAACAUCGGGCGCUUGUCAUACAAAGCUGAUGUUUAUAGCUUUGGAAUGUUGCUGUUGGAAAUGGCAGGCAGAAGAAAAAAUUUGAAUCCAUUGGCUGAAAGGUUGAGCGAAAUUUACUGGCCAGAUUGGGUUCAUGACCAAGUCUCUAAUGAGAAGGCUAUAGAAAUUGGAGAUGGUAGCACGGAAGAAGAACAAAAGAUAGUCAAGAAGAUGGUUAUUGCAGGGUUGCGGUGUAUACAAAUGAACCCUCUGAAUCGGCCCGCAAUGAACGAAGUUGUGGAGAUGCUUGAAGGAGACAUGGAAAGCCUGCAACUGCCUCCGAGACCAGUUCUAAAUCUAGAUGAGAAGCCAAUGAACACUUGUGGAGAGUCAUCUUCCAUGUCUGAUUAUUCUUCGGAAUCAGUCAGCUUGAUUGAAAAUGUAUAUAAUUAAGUGAUCUGCUAUGAAAUACUCUGCUCAUAUGCAGCAAUGAUACUAGUUCUUUGAUAGUUAUUACCAAUAUGAUAAACUGUAAUCAUCCACCUUAUUUCCUGGUUGUGUAACUAGCUAAGAGAGUCCUCGUUGGUAUUUUAUAAUCUUUAGAAAUAUUAUUUUAUUCAAAAUUAAUAAAAUCAAAUGAUAUACAUAUACAUACUAAGCAUAUUAUUAUAAAAUAGUGGAGUCCAUGUUAGAUAUCAGAUAACACCCGAAAAUGACUAGAUAAAAUCCAAAGGUGAUCAAAUGAAACCCAAAAGUGAUUACUGUAGGAGGAUAAGUCGCUACAUGUUGAUGUCUCUCUUAUCACCUAGAAAUCUUAUUGAUGAUCGUUAGGAAAACAUACAAUGAAUGUACAAAUACUUGAAACUUUAAAUAUCUUAAAAGUAUGUUUUCAAGUGUUAAAAAUUGUUUUUUAUUAAAAAAUAUAUUAAAAUAAUAUUUUUUUUUAUUUUAAAAAAAUUAUUUUUAAUAUUAAUAUUUCAAAACAAUUCAAAACCAUAAUAUUUCAAAAACAACAUAUCUCAGAAGCGUGGCACCACAACCCCGGACACAAGUACUAAAGUAGCACUACUAAAAAAGGGGGCUAUUAGCAUCGGAAUUUAGCAACGGAUAAUUCCGUUGCUAAAUUCAGUAACAGAUUUGCAACGGAUUAAACAUUUAUUAUUUUUUUAAUAUCAGCAACGGAUAUUUGCAACGGAAAAUCCAUUGCAAACUUUACAUUGAAUUUAGCAACGGAAAAUCCGUUGCUAAUUAAAAAAAUAAUUAUUUAAAUUUUAAUAUAAACCCAUUGCCUCGUUUCAUGUGUUGUUUUCUUUGUUAUUUACUCCACCUUUGUUGAGCAGCUCUAUCAUUCGAGAGAGAGAGAGAAAGAGAGAGAGAGAGAGAAAGAGAGAGCAUCAAGCUAUUUUACCAUAACAGGAAGGAGGGUAGGUCUGUAGAAGAUGUAUGGAGAUGGAAAGGAGGCAUCUUAGCAUCUGGGUUUGCUGAUCAGAGAAGGUAAGAAUAAUUAACAAGGAGAAGGGUUCGCUCUCAUUUUCUGUGCUCUCUUUGUCCUUGUUACUUCCCAUCCCAUAAUUUAUUUCCUUUCAAGCUGCUCCUUCCUUUUCCUUUUCAGAUGAGGAAUGGAUGAGAUGCACAAAAUUGCAAAAACCUAUGUACGUUAUGUUGGAUUUCAAAGCUGCUCCUUCCUUUUCCUUUUCAAAGCUGCUCCUGUCACAAGAACAAAACCAACCUUGCCUCUCCUGUCAACAUCCUCUCGAUCUUUCUUCUGUUAUGUUGGAUCUAUGUACGUUGUUUUUCUUCAUCUACUGGAGCAGUGGCUAGCAGCCACUCUAUUCUGGGGUGGAGCUUCAACAGAGGUGGACAAGCUCAAAGUCUUGACGUGUCACAGGUCACCAGCAGAUGGGGUUUGAGAUUUUGGAGCUCGAAGAAAUAAUUUUGAAAAAUGUUGCAGAUAGUAGAAAUUUUGAAAAAUAAUUUUGUACUACCUGCACAAAUACAUUGAUCGAUCUUUCUUGAGUCUUCAGUUUUUGGCGAAUAAACUAAGUCAGCGUUGAGUUAUUGCUGUACAGCUACUACUGGCAUUCCUAGCCUGUGCUGAGCAUGUCAUCAUUGCUGAUUUGCUGUCAUCCAGUAAUCCAGCUCUUUUAUCCGGACAAUCCACACAAAACUAAAUCCGUUGCUAAAAUGAGCAACGGAGAAUCCGUUGCUAGUUUUGCAACGGAAAAUCCGUUGCUCAUUGUAAACAACGGAUUUUCCGUUGCUGUGAAAUUAGCAACGGAUAAAUCCGUUGCUAAACAAUCAGCAACUACAGAUUUGCAUCUGAUUUUUACCGUUGCUGAAUCCGUUGCUAAUUUAUUUUAGCAACGGAUUUUAAUAUUAUUUGCAACGGAAUAGUCCGUUGCUAAUUACUAUAUUUUUUAGUAGUGUAGCAUCAUCAUAAAGUUUGAGAAAUACAAUUUAAAAACUAAUCUUGCAAGCAAAUACAGUUUCAUCCCCAUAUUUUCAAUCAAAUGCAUGCUAAUAUUUUGUUUGUGUAAUAAGCCGCGAAUUACUCGGAAUCCACUGUAGGCAGCAGCUCAUAGAUCACAGCCUUGAAAGCAAUGAUGACCUCAAAAUAUAUAUUUACUCUGUUUCUGAGAUGGCUGCCAGCUCUUGAUGAAGUUGCCUCCUUAGCAUACCUGUAUUCGUUCUCUUCGGAGCUGUGGAGCUAAGAGGAUUAGGAGGCGUACUUAACCUGUCUCCUUCACCUUCCAGCAUCUGGACAACAAUUUUCAUGGAAGGACGGUCCACUGGGUUCCACUGGAUGCACCACAGUCCCACAAUGGCUAGCUUCUUCGCAAUUUUAGCAUCCCCUUCUUCCUCGAUUUGGAACCGCAGGUCUUCUCCUUCUUCUAAGAGAUUAUAAAUCCAUUCUGGGAAGUAUACUUGAUCACCAUUUUCUGCUGUAUCAUCAACAUUUUUCCUUCCACCAACCAUUUCUAACACCAACAUUCCAAAACUGUACACGUCUGCCUUGUAGGAGACAUUCCCAAAGUUUCUUGAGAACACUUCAGGUGCUAUGUAGCCGACGGUUCCCCUAACUCUUGUCAUGGAAACAACACUUUUAUACUUGGAACACAACUUAGCCAGACCGAAAUCUGCAAUCUUGGGAUUGAAGUCAUUGUCCAGCAGGAUAUUAUGCGGUUUGAUAUCAAAGUGGAGGAUUGUUUGGUCACAACCCUGGUGAAGAUAUUCAAUCCCUUUGGCUACUCCGAGGGCAAUAUGAUGCAGCCUUUCCCAGCCAAGGAAAACAUUCCUUGCGUUUGCUGAAGAUAUGAACUUCUGCAGCGAAUCGUUUGGCAAGUACUCGUAAACCAGAGCUCGUCUGAAUCCAUCAGCACAGAAGCCAAUCAAGCGGACUACAUUGACAUGGUGAAUCCUAGCCAUUGUUCCCAUCUCGUUGACGAAUUCCUCUCCUUUUUCUGAUGAAUUGCUUAGAACCUUAACAGCCACCGGAAUCUCACUGGUUAGCUUUCCUUUGAACACAGUUCCAUAAGCUCCUUGCCCCAAUUCAUCCCUGAAUUGAUUUGUCAUCUUUUUGAGAUCAGCAUGGGAGUAUCUUGUGGGGUUCAUAGCUCUGUAAUCAUCCAAAACUCUUUCAACCUUGCCCUGAUAUUCUUUUUCUGAUUUUCUGAAGCUAUAGAUUUGGUAGACUGCAAUCACCAAAACCCCGAAAAGGAUGGAUCCUGUGGUUACACCUGCAUAUAUAAACAAGCCUUUUGAGUCAAGAGACAUGUUCUUUUUUGGAAGCAAUGUGUUGGAGCAAAUUUGAGAACUAACCUAAGUCAGUCGCUUUUUCCAUGCACCUGUAGAAGAUAAGAACCCUUGUUAAGUUCUAAUUUUCUGAAAGUUUCUAAAGUCAUGAUAAUAUCCUCUAUUUGUUGAAUCAAGAACGCUAAAUGCACAGGUAACCCCACUUGUCAGUCAGCUCACUAGUAGAUAGGACUUAUCUGUUCAAGGACACUUGCAAUACAUUAAUCAAAGUAGAGAUGUAGACAUAGUGAAGAAAGGAAUCAUAGAGAAUAAAGAUGCCAUGAACACAGAACAAUGAAAAGAAGACUUAAAGCUAAAGAUACCUUUGUUUUGUCUGUGCAUGCCAUAGCAUUCAGUUUCAAGCCCAGUGCUGCUAUUUCCCCUCAAUCCACAUAGUUUUCCUGUUGCUUCACAAGAUCCACAAUUGGGAUUGGACCAGGAGAGACGAAUAUCUUGUGGAACAGGUAGGUCGUACAUCUUGGUACAAGAUAAUAAUAACUCGCUGUCAUCAAUAGAUUGUUCUGAAUCAACGGCAAGAACGUCAUAGUGGAGAGUACUUAUUAGACAAGCGAUCCUAGACAGAUCUCUUGCUUUAUUUAAAGAACAAUUGAAGGUGGUAAAAUUGACCUUGGACAUCUUAAACUGUAUGUGAAACACAGACGAAUUGAAGUUGGAGUGUUGGCUUAGAAGGCAAACUUGGGGAUCUCUUGCAUAAAUAACUUGAUUUUUGUAGUCAAUCUUUUCUAUGUGGAGCUUCACUGCAGCUGGCAGCUCGAGCACUAUAUCGCCCAUCUCAUUACAAGACAGAUCAAAACCAGAAUAGCCACACUGUUCUGGCUGCCUAUCCUUGAUCCAGAAUGGAAAUCGGAUGUCGAGGCCCUGGUUCCCACAAGAUCCUGUGCAAUUUAGACUCACUCCAAGUUCUGCAAUGAACAUGAAAUAGAACAAGCAAAUAGCCUUUUUUGUUGAACCUCUCAUCAUUGCCUCCUAUGGUGAUAGAGUUUCGACCUAACAGUAUCUAGAUAUUGCAGAAACAAUAGUAAACUCAGAUGGGAACAGCAAUGGUAACUCUGAUACCUUCUUUUUAUGACAGCUGAAGGGUAAUUCUGAUACCUUCGUUUUACUUGCCUAGAUUAAGUACUCAGAAUUGACCUCUCUUGCGUUCAAUGUAGUUCCGUGUCAACAAUGAUUAUUGCACCCUCACUUUCUUUCCACUUUCGAAGGGAAAGAGGAGGGAAGCAGAGCUUGGACUUACCUGGUACACUUGGGUUGUUGAUCUUUGGCUUUUUUCACAAAUUAUUGCCAAGAAGGUUAUCAUGUUCUCUAUUAUAUGUUGACGCUUGUGGUGUUUAGAGUUGAUGGAUUUGUGGUUUAUAUCAAAGUAAUUCUUGACAUUUCAAAAGAUGAUUCGGUGAAUUUAAUAUGCUCUCUUGCAUUGAAAAACUAGCUUUAAGUGUGGUGAGAUAUUUAGAUAUGAUUUAUAUUAUUUUUUAAUAUAUAUAUAUUCAAUUAAAAGUUUUUUGUAUUUAAAACUUCUACAGACUCCCACUACCUUAUAUUUAAUUUUUAUCAAAUAAAUAAAAAUAAUGAAAUUUGAAUUAUUGCUACGAAGGUUAUCAUAUUGUCUAUAUGUUAAUGCUUGUGGUGUUGAGAGUUGAUGGAUUUGUGGUUUAUAUCAAACUAAUCUUUGACAUUUAAAAGGAUGACUUGGUAAUUUUAAUAUGCUGAUGGCACUUCACAAAACUUGUCUUUAGGUUUCUAUUUUGAGUAUGUUUGGCAGUAUGAUAACGAUUGCUUUUCAAAUAAUUUUUUGUAUCGAAAUGCAUUUUAAUGAUUUUUUUUUUAAAAAUUAUUUUUGAUAUCAGCACAUCAAAAUGAUACAAAACAUAUAAAUUAUAUUAAAUUUUAACAAAAAAAAACUUUUUUUGGAAACGCGGUGCAAUUCUUUUCACUGACUGGAAGAAUUGUUUGUGCACAACACCCUUUCUCCACCGAUGGCUAGGCACCUCUUUGCUUGCUACCUUGCCUUACUGCUCCCUCUGCUAGCCCCCCAAACCUGCAACUGCGAGGAUACCACUCUCUGUGCCCCUUCUUCAUGUGGCAACCAGACUAUUAGCUACCCCUUUAGCCUAAACAGUAGUGAUCCAUUAAACUGUGGAAACGCUCUCUAUACCCUCCACUGCGAGAAAAACACCUCCACUGCAUUGUGUUUAGACUCACGAAAACACUACGUCCAGGCAAUCAACUACAGCAACUUGACAAUCCGAGUGGUGGACGGUGGUGUUAAAUUAAAUGAUUGCUCUUCUCUUCCUAGUUUUACUUCGACAUAUGCAAACCUGGAUAAUUCCAUGAAUCCAUAUACAUCGUUUCAAUACAAAAAGACAGGGCCGAAAUGGGAUGCCCGUUUCGAGCGUCACUCAUUAUCGCAGAAGAUUAUUUUUAUAAACUGUGCAAAUCCAGUGAAUUCUCCUCUGUACGUAGACACUGGUACUGGCCUUAAUGGAGCGAAAUCUUCCAAUGCUUCCCUCUCAACGCAUUCAUAUGUGAAUAUUGGUGGCAUGAAGGCCUCGGAUUUGAUGGAACUGUGCAGCUUAGAGAGGAUGACGUUGUUGCCACCCAAGGAUUACAAGAACAUGUCCUAUAAGGAAAUUCACAGUCAGCUCGCAUAUGGGUUUGAGCUUUCAUGGCACAAUAGCAUGUGUGGAAGCUGUGCAUAUGGAUGCUACAUCGAUGAUUCGUACAAUACACACUGCAUAGGUGGGCAAAAUUGAGUAUAAACUGUUCGUUUUUCUAUCUUCAACUUCUCUUCGCAUGAUUUCCCCAUUUCUCAAGCAUGUUGUAGUGCUGGAUUUGUGGUUUAUAUUAAAGUAAUCUUUGACAUUUCAAAGGAUGACUUGUUAAGUUUAAUAUGCUGAACAAACUCUCGCAUUGAAAAACUAGCUUUAAGGUGUGAUGAGAUAUCUAAAUAUAAUUUAUAUUAUUUUUUAAUAUAUAUAUUAAAUUAAAAGUUUUUUGGACUUAAAAUUUGUACAAACACGCAUUACUUUGUGUUUAAUUUUUAUCAAAUAAAUAAGGAUGACGAGAUUCCAAUUAUUGCUAAGAAGUUUAUCAUAUUGUCUAGAUGUUGACGCUUGUGGUGUUGAGAGUUGAUGGAUUUGUAGUUUAUAUCAAAGUAAUCUUUGACAUUUCAAAGGAUGACUUGUUAAGUUUAAUAUGAUGAAGAAACUCUUACAUUGAAAAACUAGCUUUAAGGUGUGAUGAGAUAUCUAAAAAUAAUUUAUAUUAUUUUUUAAUAUAUAUAUAUAUAUAUAUGUUAAAUUAAAAGUUUUUUGGACUUAAAACUUGUACAGACUUGCACUACCAUGUGCUUAAUUUUUAUCACAUAAAUAAGGAUGACGAGAUUACAAUUAUUGCUAAGAAGUUUAUCAUAUUGCCUAGAUGUUGACGCUUGUGGUGUUGAGAGUUGAUGGAUUUGUGGUGUAUAUCAAACUAAUCUUUGACAUUUCAAAGGAUGACUUGGUAACUUUAAUAUGCUGAAGAAAAGCUCGCAUUGAAAAACUAGUUUUAAGGUGUGAUGAUAUAUCUAAAUAUAAUUUUUUUUUAUUAUAUAUGUUAAAUUAAAAGUCUUUUGGAUUUAAGACUUGUACAGACGCGCACUACAUUGUGCUUUAUUUUUAUCAAAUAAAUAAGGAUGGUGAGAUUUGAAUUAUUGCUAAGAAGUUUGUCAUAUUGUCUAGAUGUUGACGCUUGUGGUGUUUAGAGUUGAUGGAUUUGUGGUUUAUAUCAAAGUAAUCUUUGACAUUUCAAAGGAUGACUUGUUAAGUUUAAUAUGCUAAAGAAAGCUUGCAUUGAAAAACUAGUUUUAAGGUGUGAUGAGAUAUCUAAAUGUAAUUUAUAUUAUUUUUUAAUAUAUAUGUUAAAUUAAAAGUCUUUUCAACUUAAAACUUGUACAGACUCGUACUACCUUGUGUUUAAUUUUUAUUAAAUAAAUAAGGAUGGUGAGAUUUAAAUUAUUGCUAAGAAGUUUAUCAUAUUGUCUAGAUGUUGAUGCUUGUGGUGUUGAGAAUUGAUGAAUUUGUGGUUUAUAUCAAAGUAUUCUUUGGUUAAUUAUUGUCACUUUGACAUUUCAAAGGAUGAGUUAGUCAUUUUAAUAUGCUGAUGAAACAUUCACAUUGAAAAACUGACCUUUAGGUUUUAUCUUCUUCCAUGUUUCUCUUACUAUGGUAAAAGAAACAGUCUAAUUUAAAAGGUUAAACUGUUAUAUAUAUUUAUUAUAUAAUUUAUAUUAUUUUUAAAAAUAAAUGUGAAAGCUUUUUCAGCUUAAAAUUUAAACAGAUUUAAACUACCUCGCGCUUAAUUUUUAUUAAAUAAAUAGGAAUAACAAGAUUCAUAUUUAUAACCCCUUGAUCAUCAAGAAUUUAAUACCAUAUCAAAAACUCAACUCAACUGCAAAAUUUAAACUGGUAGGGUAAAUUUUAAAAUAUAAUUUAUAUUAUUAUUUAAUAUUAGUGCUCUAACUGUUGUCUUUAAAGACUUGAUAUCGUUUAUGGACUACACCCUCUUUCUCCACCCAUGGCUAGGCUCCUCUUUGCUGGCUCCAUAGCCUUACUCCUCCUGCUGCUAGUCUUCCAAAACAGUAACUGCGAGGAUAACAAUCCCUGUGCCCCUUCUUCAUGUGGCAACCUUACUAUUAGGUACCCCUUUAGCCUAGAAAGUGAUCCAUCUUACUGUGGAAAUCAUUAUAUUGGCUACCGCUUUAACUAUACCCUCCGUUGCGAGAAAAAUAUCUCUACAGUUUUGUAUUUAGACUCACGAAAAUACUACGUGCAGGCAAUCAACUACAACAACUUGACAAUCCGAGUGGUGGAUCCUGGUGUUAAAGAAAAUGAUUGCUCUUCGCUUCCUGAUUUUUCUUUAGCAUUUGAUAGCCUAGGUAAUUCCAUAAGGGCAUAUAAUUUGUUUACUUUAGCAUUUACAGCCUUAGAUUAUAUCGCAGUUGAUGAUUAUCCAUACACAUGGUUUCAAUACAAAAAGACAGGGUGGGAGUGGUUUCCCAAAUACAAGACUCUCCCGUUAUCGCAGAUGAUGAUUUUUAUAAACUGCGCAAAUCCAGUGGAUUCUCCUCUGUACAUAGACACUGGUACUUGCCUUAAUGGAGAAAAAUCUUCCAAUGCUUCACUCUUGAUGCGUUCUUAUGUGAAUGCUGGUGGGAUGAAGGCUUCGGAUCUGAUGGAACUGUGCAGCUUAGAGAGGAUGACGUUGUUGCCAGACAAGGAUUACAAGAACAUGUCCUUUAAGGAAAUUCACAGUCAGCUCGCAUAUGGGUUUGAGCUUUCAUGGCACAAUAGCAUGUGUAGAAGCUGUGCACAUGGAUGCUACAUCGAUGAUUCGUACAAUACACUCUGCAUAGGUGGGCAAAAUUGAGUAACAAACUGUUCGUUUUUCUAUCUUCAACUUCUCUUCGCAUGAUUUCCCCAUUUCUGAAGCAUGUUGUAGUGCUGAGUAUCGUACGGUCAGUUCAAUCAAGCUAUCAUAGGCUGCAGAUGGUCGUAUCAUUUGUCAUAAUAAUUCGUGGUUUUCUUUUAUUAGACGAUAAAUGAUAUUUUAUACCAAUGUUCAGAAAACUUAGUCAAACAAAACUAAGUUUCACUUCUUUAAUACAUUCAGAAAAAUUUAAUAACAACUUCUCGAUAUUAACCUCAAGAUUUGAAUUCAAAAGGUAAAACCAGGAUAAUUUUGCUAAGUCAUUCAUUUGUUUCUUCCCAAUUUCUUUCAUCUUGUAAUAACCUCCGUUAUAUAUUUUCUCAAAUCACAAAUCUAAUCUUUGUAACUGAUCUCUUGGUACAGACAGAGUUUCUUGGUUCAUGAUAACCUCAGGUGAGGAUUAUAUCUCCCCACUUCUUCAUGCUUAAUUCUUACUAUAAUAUCUCUAAAUUUGUUUACCUUCUCUGCAGCCGUGCUGCUAUAUGCAUCCAUCUUCAUUGGUAAGAACUCCCCUUAUUAAUUAUUAAUUUUUUUUUUUUUUGAAGUUACGAUAGUGGAUCAUAUUUUAUUAGCAGAUACAAAAUGAUAAUUCCUAAAUGUCUUCUUAUGCCAAGUUCUUGGGGUGGGGGGUUGCCUAAUUUUGAGACAUACCUUUUGGUUAAGAGUAUGCUUUUCUACAAAUCAUGAUGGUCUAGAUUUUAUAUGAUUUUUCAACUAGGCGAAAAAAUUCUAACACCAAACCUAACCAUGUUGUGUAUUUAUCUUAUAAUUAAUAAGAAAUAAUGAUUUCCGUCUUGAUUUCCCCCCAAAUUUCACACACAGCUACUUCAGGGGGCAAAAUUUAUCUUUGGGAGUCUGUUUGUGAUUGCAUUCUUGAUCUAUAUAUGGCGACGAAGACAUCUAUCAGCAUAUGAUACAGUUGAGGAAUUCCUACAGACUCAUAACAAUCUUAUGCCAGUCGUGAGGUAUUCUUAUUCAGAGAUUAAGAAGAUGACCGGAGGUUUCAAGGAAAAGUUGGGGGAAGGAGGUUUUGGUUGCGUGUACAAGGGAAAGCUUCACAGUGGACAUUCUGCAGCGAUAAAAUUGCUGGGCAAAUCCAAGGCUAAUGGACAAGAUUUCAUCAAUGAAGUCGCUACCAUUGGAAGGAUUCGCCACACCAAUGUAGUGCAACUGGUUGGUUUUUGUGCUGAGGGAUCAAAGCGCGCUCUUGUAUAUGAUUUCAUGCCCAAUGGAUCUCUCAAUAAUUUUAUUUUUUCUCAAGAAAGAUCUGUCUCCUUAAGCUGGGAAAAACUGCAUGAGAUUUCCCUUGGAGUGGCUCAUGGCAUCCAAUAUCUACAUCGAGGUUGUGAGAUGCAGAUCCUACAUUUUGACAUCAAGCCUCACAACAUUCUUCUCGAUGAACAUUUCACUCCAAAAGUUGCUGAUUUUGGACUUGCUAGGUUGUGUCCAACAAAUGAGAGUCUUAAAUCUCUCACUGCAGCAAGGGGAACGAUAGGAUACAUGGCGCCAGAACUGUUCUACAAGAACAUCGGGCGUGUCUCAUACAAAGCUGAUGUUUAUAGCUUUGGAAUGUUGCUGUUGGAAAUGGCAGGCAGAAGGAAGAAUCUGAACGCAUUGGCAGAGAAUUCAAGCCAGAUUUACUGGCCAUAUUGGGUUCAUGACCAAGUCUCUAAUGAGAAGGCUAUAGAAAUUGGAGAUGGUAGCACGGAAGAGGAAAAAAAGAUAGUCAAGAAGAUGAUUAUUGUAGGGUUGUGGUGUAUACAAAUGAACCCUGUAAAUCGGCCUGCAAUGAACGAAGUUGUGGAGAUGCUUGAAGGAGACAUGGAAAGCCUGCAACUGCCUCCGAAACCUGUUCUAAAUCUAGAUGAGAAGCCAAUGAACACUUGUGGAGAGUCAUCUUCCAUGUCUGAUUAUUCUUCGGAAUCAGUCAGCAUGGUUGAAAAUGCAUCUAAUUAAGUGAUCUGCUAUGAAAUACUUUGCUCAUGUGCAGGGGAAGGCUUGUCCCGUGAAUGAUACUAGUUCUUUGAAAGUUAAUUCCAUUAUGAUGAACUGUAUUGAGGCACCUUAUUUCCUGGUUGUGUAACUAGAAUCAUCAAAAUGCAUAUCAUAUUGAAUAGAAUUUAGUUCAAUAGAAUGCGAGUACAAAUUCAAGAAUAAAUAAAUACUCGGAAAAUAAAGCAACAUAUAUAAAUAUCCAAGAGAUUAACUAGUUGUACUCAUCAUAUAAUCAACAUAUAUUUUUAUUUAUAUUAUAUGCAUAUUAAAGAUUAUCUCACUCAACUGGAAAAUAUAGAAAUAAAAUGAAUAUUAGAUAAAAGACCAGAAAAUCUUAUUGAGGAUCGUUAGGAAAACAUACAAUAAAUAUACAAAAUAUCUACUAAAAAACAACCUAAAACAAUCCAAAUAAAAGAUUCCAAUGCAUAAAAUAAAACCAUGUUUAUCCUCCUGAGUUUAGGGACUAAAACAAUAAUUUUUCCAAAAUAGGAGCCAAAAUAUUUGCUGCCCCUUUAGCCUAAACAGUAGUGAUCCAUUAAACUGUGGAAACCCUCUCUAUACCCUCCAUUGCGAGAAAAAUACCUCCACAGUUUUGUAUUUAGACUCACGAGAAUACUACGUGCAGGCAAUCAACUACAACAACUUGACAAUCCGAGUGGUUGAUGCUGGUGUUACACAAAAUGAUUGCUCUUCUCUUCCUCAUUUUUCUUUAACAUAUGCAAGAUUAGGUAAUUCCAGAAGUGCAUAUAAUAUUUCUACUUCAACAAAUACAGGCUUAGAUUAUAUCAGAUUUCCAUAUACAUGGUUUCAAUACAAAGAGACAAGGCGGAAAUGGAUUCCCGAAUACAAGCCUCUCCCGUUAUCGCAGAUGAUGAUUUUUAUAAACUGUGCAAAUCCAGUGAAUUCUCCUCUGUACGUAGAAUCCGGUACUUGCCUUAAUGGAGAAAAAUCUUCCAAUGUUUCACUCUUGAGGCGUUCUUAUGUGAAUAUUGGUGGCAUGAAGGCCUCGGAUCUAAUGGAACUGUGCAGCUUAGAGAGGAUGACGUUGUUGCCAGCCAAGGAUUACAAGAACAUGUCCUUUAAGGAUAUUCAGAGUCAGCUGGAAUACGGGUUUGAGAUUUCAUGGCACAAUAGCAUGUGUGGGAGUUGUGAAUAUGAAUGCUACAUCUAUGAUUCGAACCUGACACGCUGCGCAGGUGGGCAAUAUUGAGUAACAAACUGUUCGUUUUUCUAUCUCCAACUUCUCUUGUCUCAAAAUAUAUGAUUACUCUGUUUCUGAGAUGGCUGCCAGCUCUUGAUGAAGACGCCUCCUUAGCAUACCUGUGUUCGUUCUCUUCAUUGCUGUGGAGCUAAGAGGAUUAGGAGGUGUACUUAACCUGUCUCCUUCACCUUCCAGCAUCUGGACAACAAUUUUCAUGGAAGGACGGUCCACUGGGUUCCACUGGAUGCACCACAGUCCCACAAUGGCUAGCUUCUUCGCAAUUUUAGCAUCCCCUUCUUCCUCGAUUUGGAACCGCAGGUCUUCUCCUUCUUCUAAAAGAUUAUAAAUCCAUUCUGGGAAGUAUACUUGAUCACCAUUUUCUGCUGUAUCAUCAACAUUUUUCCUUCCACCAACCAUUUCUAACACCAACAUUCCGAAACUGUACACGUCUGUUUCUUGAGAACACUUCAGGUGCUAUGUAGCCAACGGUUCCCCGAGCUGUUGUCAUGGAAAUAGCACUUUUAUACUUGGAACACAACUUAGCCAGACCGAAAUCUGCAAUCUUGGGAUUGAAGUCAUUGUCCAGCAGGAUAUUAUGCGGUUUGAUAUCAAAGUGGAGGAUUGUUUGAUCACAACUCUGGUGAAGAUAUUCAAUCCCUUUGGCUACUCCAAGGGCAAUAUGAUGCAGCCUUUCCCAGCCAAGGAAAACAUUCUUGGUGUUUGCAGAAGAUAUGAACUUCUGCAGCGAAUCGUUUGGCAAGUACUCGUAAACUAGAGCUCGUCUGAAUCCAUCAGCACAGAAGCCAAUCAAGCGGACUACAUUGACAUGGUGAAUCCUAGCCAUUGUUUCCAUUUCAUUGACGAAUUCCUCUCCUUUUUCUGAUGAAUUGUUUAGAACCUUAACAGCCACCGGAAUCUCACUGGUUAGCAUUCCUUUGAACACAGUUCCAUAAGCUCCUUGCCCCAAUUCAUCCCUGAAUUGAUUUGUCAUCUUUUUGAGAUCAGCAUGGGAGUAUCUUGUGGGGUUCAUAGCUCUGUAAUCAUCCAAAAACCUUUCAACCUUGUCCUGAUAUUCUUCUUCUGAUUUUCUGAAGCUAUAGAUUUGGUAGACUGCAAUGACCAAAACCCCGAAAAGGAUGGAUCCUGUGGUUACGCCUGCAUAUAUAAACAAGCCUUUUGAGUCAAGAGACAUGUUCUUUUUUGGAAGCAAUGUAUUGGAGCAAAUUUGAGAACAACUAACCUAAAGUCAGUCGCUUUUUCCGUGCACCUGUAGAAGAUAAGAACCCUUGUUAAGCUCUAAUUUUCUGAAAGUUUCUGAAGUCAUGAUAAUAUCCUCUAUUUGUAGAAUCAAGAACGCUAAAUGCACAGGGAACCCACUUGUCAGUGAACUCACUAGUAGAUAGGACUUAGGUGUUCAAGGACACUUGCAAUACAUUAAUCAAAGUAGAGAUGUAGACUUAGUGAAGCAAGGAAUCAUAGAAAAUCAAGAUGCCAUGAACACAGAACAAUGAAAAGAAAGCUUAAAGCUAAAGAUACCUUUCUCUGGUCUGGGAUUGAACCAGGAGAGACGAAUAUCUUGUGGAACAGGUAGGUCGUACAUCUUGGUACAAGAUAAUAAUAACUCGUUGUCAUCAAUAGAUUGUUCUGAAUCAACGGCAAGAACGUCAUAGUGGAGAGUGCUGAGACAAGGGAUUUUAGGCCGAGAUGUUGCGUUAUUUAAAGAGCAAUUGAAGAUGGUAAAAUUGUCCUUGGACAUCUUAAACUGUAUGUGAAACACAGAGGAUUUGAAGUUUGAGUGGUGGCUUCGAAGGCAACCUUGGGGAUCACUUGCCUAAAUAACUUGAUUUUUGUAGUCAAUCUUAUCUAUGUAGAGUUUCACUGCAGCUGGCAGCUCGAGCACUAUAUCGCCCAUCUCAUUACAAGACAGAUCAAAACCAUAAUAGCCACACUGUUCUGGCUGCCUAUCCUCUUGGGUCAGGAUUUCUCUGGUGAUGGGGGAGAGAACAAGGAAUUCUUGUUUUUUAUUAAUAAAAAAACAGAUCGAGUCGUCACCUAAUAUUUUGAUCAUUAGAUACUCUAACUAGUUUUAGAGUUUAGAUACGAGAACUAGUUGUGUAUAGAGAUGAUUUAUCAUCCCUUGUACACCUUACGUAAAGUAAACUGUAUUGUUUAUUUGUCUGAUAUAAACUAAGAUAUUGUUGUGUUUUUUAAUUGUUGAUCUGUCUAAGGUUUAAGAAAAGUUCUUCUUGAUAACAAGGUCCUUAUCUUAUUAGGUUAAAUCCUAGUAAUUCUAAAAUCAAAAUGUAAAAAUAAAAGAAAGUGUCUUUUUAUUCAAUAUCAUGAAUGCAUCUUAUGUUUAAGUUCACAGUCUCAUUUAUUAAAAAGAAACAAAAUAAUUUUUUUAGGUAUUUUUAAAAUAUAGACCAAGUUCUCAAGACUUUAAUAAACCAGUUAUCAAAUUCAAUGCGCAUGUAAAAUAAAAAGACUAUUUUUUGUGAUUUCUUAAUAUGCUAUAAUAUGCAAAUAUAAUUUAUUUUUGAGAUAUUUGACCAUUUGCACACAAAUAAAAAUAUAUUUUUGUAUUUUUCUUUGAAUAAUAGUGACACGAUCAAAAGAUUGAUGUCUUAUCCCAAGUGCAGGAGUGCCGAAGUAAUAAAUAACCUAGCAAGACCGGUGUCGAAUCACAUGGAGGUUAACUAUAUAAAUUAACAAGAAGAAGAAGAAGAAGAAGAAGAAGAAGUUAAAGAGGACUUUGAGAUUGUAAGAUUAACAUGAGGUUUGAACAAUGAUAAAAACAAGUGUCAGGUUAAAGGAUCCACUAAUAGUAUUAGAUAUAAGUAAAAGUAUAAACUCUUUAUAAAUUAUUAACAUGAUCAUAUUAAUCAUUUUAUUUAUGUAAUACCAUAUUUAUAAAUUUUAUCAAGUAUUCAUGAUGUUAACUUAUGUUGACAGUAAAUCAAGUUCCUCUUAUAAUAACGAUGUCGACUGAAAGAUCAAGUAUUUGAUAUACCAAGUGUUAUACAACACAAAUCUAGAUUAACCAUUUAACAAGUAAGGUAUUAAGAAUUAAUAAGAUAAAAAUGAUAAGACAUGUUAAUAGUAAUGUGAAUUAAUAUUUUGGUUCUACUGGGCAUUCAAGAGUUGAUAUAUAUAUAUAUAUAACUGUUCUUAAUAAUUCACAUUUUGUUAUGUUUUGAUUGUUGGUGUUGAUGAUGGAGAGAAAAAAAACUUUGAGAAGAGCAGGGUAAAGGGAGAAGGAUGAGCUCCGAGGUAGUGUAGACUAAAUUGAUUGGUCGCGCUUCACUGUGGGCUGGGUUAAUUUCUUUGUAGCUGAUAAAAACGAUGUUAAAGCUUGACCACUGUCUUCUAAAAAGUGGAAAAAAAUUAAUGACUCAAACAUAAUCGAAAAAAAACUAAAAAAUAAUAAUCUUUAAACUGAAUCAAACUCUAAAAUAAUAAAAUUGAAAAAAAAAAUCUAUACAAAAAAAUACUAAAAAAUAAAAUACUAGUAAGAGAUCAUCAAAAUAUGUCAAACCUUAAAUAUUAAAAAAAUAUUGAAUUCAAGGAUUAAAACAAAUUCAUAAAAGAAUCCAAAACAUAAAAAAAAAAUUCAAUUUUCAAUCAAUUCAAUGAUUAUAGAUGAAAAUUUUAAAAAUAAUUAAAAAUUAUUGAAGUGAACCCAGUCCAAUCUUCCAAUUUGUAAUAGAUCAUGAGACCAGAUCACAACUUAAAAGAAAAACAAGAAAAAAUAAAAAUGUAAAAUUCUAAAUCAACCAAAAUAAUUAGGGAUAAACAUGAAAAAAAAUGAUUUUAAAAUGUAGAUUUGAAAAGAAAAAAACCAAAUUUGACUAAAAAAAACAAAUCAUAAGGGAUGAAAUUAGAAAAUAAUUUCAAUUAAGAAAAUGAUAAAAACAACAAAAAACAACAAUAAAAAAUAAGUAUUAUAUUUGAUAUAAAAAUAAAAUGUCAAGAUAUGAAAUUUAAAAACAAAUUAAUACAAUAAAUGAUUGAAAACAAAAAAACAUUAUAAUUAGAAGAAUAAAAAUCAAAUCUAAUAUAAAAAUAAAGUAUAAAUGGAUGCAAUUAAAAAAAUAAUUAAUUUAAUGAAUAAUUCAAAACCAAAUAAAUUUGAUUAAUUUAAUGAACAACACUAACAGGAAAGAUCCCGCCGGGUUGGUUGUGCUCCAUUCACCGGUGAACGUCACCGGCCACACAAUCCCGACCAGUGGUUUUGAAAGGCAGAACCUUAGAAACCCAAAAUCGGAAAAUUUGAAUCACCCUCUCUACUCCUUCCUAAGAAAAUCCCUCCUUACAAUCCCCCCUCUCUUUAUCCCAGCAAAGACAAGAGAACAAAAUGGUGGAAGAGAAGUCACGCAUCUGAGCAUCAAAAGCAAGGAAAGAAAAAACCAAAAAUAGUCUUUCAUCCAAAAACCAUAAGGACGAGAAUAAAAAUGGACCCCAUGAAAUAUUUGUCUACAGUGUUCCGACUUGGGACAGCGUCAACAAUUUCACCUAAAAACAGCGCAUUAUUUCUUUCUUGCCCUCCUACCUCCACAUCUUUUUUCUGAAUAUUUCCAUAACCUGCGAACUUAGCCAUCCUACGAAGAAAAACGCUUUCCUUUUAUUGUAAUUCUUUUAUUACUUACAAGUGGGGCCAAUGGCAAAUGGAGUAAAUUAGUGAUUGACUAGCCUUAUUCCCAAGCUCUGCUGUGGGUGAAGUUUCAUGUUAAUUUUUAACGCAAGAACACAAAACGAUGGAUGCAUUUUGGGGUCUUCGGAAUUAUCUAUGUUUAAUAAAAUAAAAUAAAUAAAUAAGAGAUAUUAACACUAAUUAAAUAAUAGAAUGAAAAUUUAAUCAUGUAAUAAAAGCAAAAAAUAAAUACAAAUGUAAAUUCUUGAUACACGUGCCGUUUAAAAUGCAUCAACACUUUCUACAGGCAGGCACAUAUAGCUUUUUAAAAUUAAAUAUUAUUUUAUUAUUAUAAAAUACAAUAAUAUCUUGAUAAAAAAAUAAUAAAUAACUAACUUGAAAAGACUUAAAUAUCCCUUGAUCAAAAACAUUGAUUUUGUUCACUUAAAAGAGCAUUUUAGUAAUCUAACCAUAACUUAAAAUAUAAAAGACUGAUAAUACCCUCAAACUAAAAACAUAUAAACCAACAAUACCUUCUUAAGCAAGAACACCUGUUAUUUAAAUGAGAGGUUAAAUAAUAAUAAUUUUACUAUUAUAAUACACAAUAAAAAGUGUAUUUCGCUGCUCCAAGACCCCUUCCGAUUCAGUAUAUAUGUUAUAUAUUUAUGCAAUGUAAAUAUACUUGGUUGCCUAUGGUAAAUUAAAGGUACAAUACGGCUGCCCUUACUGAAUAUAUUUAAUCAAAUUUAAGACAAUCAUCAUAAAACAAGGUACGUAUGGCUGCCCUUAGUGAAUUAAAGGUCCUUUUUGGAGGCCAAGAUCACACUAUACAUUCCGAAAUGACUAUAAGUACAUAUCUAAAAUAAAAAUCGAAGUGCUUUGUCACUAAUCAGUAUAGAAAGAAUAGUAAUGAAAAAUUCAGAGGUAUAUUUUAAUUGAUUAUAUUUUAAAUUUAUGUUUUAGAAAUUAUCAGUUUAAAUCUCAAAAAUUUAAACAAAAUUUCCAUGAUCCAUGCAGUAGUUGUAAUGUAUGAUUUACAUUAUUUUUCUUUUUUAUCAAAUGUUAAUAGUUUCAUCAAGGCCGUAGGUUCAUGCUAGAUGCGUUAAGCCCAAUGCUUUGGUCUUAAUAAAUUGGCCGCGUUAAAAAACAAAGUUGAUCCAAAAAUAUAUUUUAAAAAUAUUAUGUAACACAGGACAAAUCAUGCAAGUUCAAUAAUUAUGAAAAAUAUUGUUUUAUUUUUUUCUUUAAAAAGGUAAAGUGAACAAUUAAUGUGAAAGAUGGAGUGGUUAAAUUGUUUUUUAAAAUGUUUUUUAUUUAUCAAGAUCCUGAGCAAUUUAGACUCACUCCAAGUUCUGCAAUGAACAUGAAAUAGAACAAGCAAAUAGCCUUUUUUGUUGAACCCCCCAUCAUUGCCUCCUAUGGUGAUAGAGUUUCGACCUAACAGUAUCUAGAUAUUGCAGAAACAAUAGUAAACUCAGAUGGGAACAGCAAUGGUAACUCUGAUACCUUCUUUUUAUGACAGCUGAAGGGUAAUUCUGAUACCUUCGUUUUACUUGCCUAGAUUAAGUACUCAGAAUUGACCUCUCUUGCGUUCAAUGUAGUUCCGUGUCAACAAGGAUUAUUGCACCCUCACUUUCUUUCCACUUUCAAGGGAAAGAGGAGGGAAGCAGAGCUUGGACUUACCUGGUACACUUGGGUUGUUGAUCUUUGGAUUUUUUCACAAAUUAUUGCCAAGAAGGUUAUCAUGUUCUCUAUUAUAUGUUGACGCUUGUGGUGUUUAGAAUUGAUGGAUUUGUGGUUUAUAUCAAAGUCAUCCUUGACAUUUCAAAGGAUGACUCGGUGAAUUUAAUAUACUGAUGAAACUCUUGCAUUAAAAAACUGGCUUUCAGGUGUGGUGAAAUAUUUAGAUAUGAUUUAUAUUAUUUUUUUAAUAUAUAUGUUCAAUUAAAAGCCUUUUGUGCUUAAAACUUGUACAGACUCCUACUACCUUAUAUUUAAUUUUUAUCAAAUAAAUAAGAGUGAUGAGAAUCAAAUUAUUACUAAGAAGGUUAUCAUAUUGUCUAUAUGUUGACCCUUGUGGUGUUGAGAGUUGAUGGAUUUGUGGUUUAUAUCAAAGUAAUCUUUGACAUUUCAAAGGAUGACUUGGUAAGUUUAAUAUGUUGAUGAAACUCUCGCAUUGAAAAAUUGGCUUUCAGGUGUGGUGAAGUAUCUAGAUAUUAUUUAUAUUAUUUUUUAAUAUAUAUGUUCAAUUAAAAGCCUUUUGUGCUUAAAACUUGUACAUACUCGCACUACCUUAUGCUUAAUUUUUAUCAAAUAAAUAAGAAUGGUGAGAUUCGAAUUAUUUCUAAGAAGGUUAUCAUAUUGUUAGAGCGUGUUUGAGAGUGUGGUUAUUGUUGCUUUUCAAAGUAUUUUUCACUUAGAAAAGCAUGCCAAUAAUAUUUUUUUUUUUUAAAAAAAUUAUUUUUGAGAUCAGCACAUCAAAAUGAUUUGAAAACAUCAAAACAUACUAAUUCAAAGCAAAAAAAAAAAAUUCAAUAUUUUUGAAAAAUGCUUUUCUACCGCACUACCAAACGACCUCUAUAUGUUGACGCAUAUGGUGUUGAGAGUUGAUGGAUUUGUGGUUUAUAUCAAAGUAAUCUUUGACAUUUCAAAGGAUGACUUGGUAAAUUUAAUAUGCUGAUGAAACUCUCACAUUGAAAAACUAGCUUUAAGGUAUGAUGAAAUAUCUAGAUAUGAUUUAUAUUAUUUUUUAAUAUAUUUGUUUAAUUGAAAGUCUUUUGGGCUUAAAACUUGUACACACUCGCACUAUCUUAUGCUUAAUUUUUAUCAAAUCAAUAAGGAUGGUGAGAUUCAAAUUAUUGCUAAAAAGGUUAUCAUAUUUUCUAUAUGUUGACACUUGUGGUGUUGAGAUUUGAUGGAUUUGUGGUUUAUAUCAAAGUAAUCUUUGACAUUUCAAAGGAUGACUCGGUAAAUUUAAUAUGCUGAUGAAAUUCUCGCAUUAAAAAAACUGGUUUUAAAGUAUAGUGAGAUAUCUAGAUAUGAUUUAUAUAUAUAUAUAUAUUUUAAUAUAUAUAUAUAUAUAUAUAUAUAUGUUUAAUUAAAUGUCUGUUGAGCUUAAAAUUUGUACAAAUUCACACUACCUUAUGUUUAAUUUUUAUAAAAUAAAUUAGGAUGGUUAGAUUUAUAUUAUUUAAUAUUACUGCUCUAACUGUUGUCUUUAAAGACUUGAUGGAUUGUUCAUGGACUACACACUGUUUCUCCACCCAUGGCUAGGCUCCUCUUUGCUGGCUACAUAGCCUUACUGCUCCUGCUGCUAGUCUUCCAAAACAGCAACUGCAAGGAUACCAAUCCCUGUGCCCCUUCUUCAUGUGGCAACCAGACUAUUAGCUACCCCUUUAGCCUAAACAGUAGUGAUCCAUUAAACUGUGGAAACGCUCUCUAUACCCUCCACUGCGAGAAAAAUACCUCCACAGUUUUGUAUUUAGACUCACGAAAAUACUACGUGCAGGCAAUCAACUACAACAACUUGACAAUCCGAGUGGUUGAUGCUGGUGUUGAAGAAAAUGAUUGCUCUUCGCUUCCUGAUUUUUCUUUAGCAUUUGAUAGCCUAGGUAAUUCCAUAAGGGCAUAUAAUUUUUUUACUUUAGCAUUUACA
rnacentral:lncRNA from 1 species